UACGUAGGGUGCAAGCGUUGUCCGGAAUUAUUGGGCGUAAAGGGCUCGUAGGCGGUCUGUCGCGUCGGGAGUGAAAACUUACAGCUUAACUGUGAGCGUGCUUCCGAUACGGGCAGACUUGAGGUAUUCAGGGGAGAACGGAAUUCCUGGUGUAGCGGUGAAAUGCGCAGAUAUCAGGAGGAACACCGGUGGCGAAGGCGGGUCUCUGGGCCGAUACUGACGUGAGGAGCGAAAGCGUGGGGAGCGAACAGGAUUAGAAACCCGUACGUAGUCAGACCAAGAUCCUCUGCACCGA
rnacentral:rRNA from 1 species